GAUCUUCAGAAUUAAUUAAAGGAGUUCAAGGCUGAUAUAGCGAGGAUUAAGGUUCACCAGCUCUAUUUACGCUGCAUCUACUGAAGAACGGUGUGAUGGGCUUGAAGCUUAACCAUAUGAGGAGAUUACUAAACACUGAGAAAUUGAUCUGAAGUCUGAAACUCUCGUGGAGAUUACUUCACUACUGUAGGCUUCUACAUCAGUUCUAUGACUAUGAACUACAUGAUGUAUUCGAGAAGCCACUUUGUGAAAGGAAUGGAGCUGAUGGUGCUGCUGAUAUGUUAUAGGCUGUACGGGAAAGCAACAGAGGACUCAGUGGCAUAUGCGCUUGUGAUGGGCUCAACCUGGUUCCUGGUGGGUUCCUGGUUGUUUGAUUAGUUCUUUUUCAAUCCCUCAGGAUUCGAGUGGCAGAAGAUAGUUGAUGACUGGGAUGAUUGGAACAAGUGGAUAAGCAGCAGAUCUUAGGCUUGUAGUGAGUAUAGUGCUUAUAAUGAUACAAGUUUUAUGUUGCAAGUGACUAUAGUGAGUAUAGUGCUAUCCGAACUCAAUUUGAAACAUAAAACUUGUAGUGAGUAUAGUGCUUCUUCUGAAGUCUGAAACUCUCGUGGUUUACAGUUUGUGAAGAACAGCUCUUAGGCUUCCCUUAAUCAAGCUGGUCAGUGGUGAUUUUAGUAGUUUUGUGUCUCGUGGCUGCGUUGGUUCUUCCCCGAUUUCUGCCAUCUUAUCUUCUAAUCAAAGAUGGAGAUCGUGAUCGUUGAGAAGAAACAUGGUUAAUACAGACUGAUGGUUGCAAAAGGUUGAUGAUGCAAAAGUGUGGAGG